UACGUAGGGUGCAAGCGUUGUCCGGAAUUAUUGGGCGUAAAGAGCUCGUAGGCGGCUUGUCACGUCGACUGUGAAAACCCGGGGCUCAACUCCGGGCCUGCAGUCGAUACGGGCUGGCUUGAGUGCGGUAGGGGAGACUGGAAUUCCUGGUGUAGCAGUGAAAUGCGCAGAUAUCAGGAGGAACACCGGUGGCGAAGGCGGGUCUCUGGGCCGUAACUGACGCUGAGGAGCGAAAGCGUGGGGAGCGAACAGG
rnacentral:rRNA from 1 species